rnacentral:lncRNA from 1 species
UUUGUGUCUGGCUGCGCUCAGUGUGUGCCUGCUGCACAAUAACCAGCACCGCGGGGGACAAAUACCUGAGCUGAUUGCUGGGGCUGCUGCGGGCCCCACGCUCCCCCCUGAGAACCAGAGACACAACUAAUAUUGUCAUUUUCCUCUGAAAACCGCUUUAAGGGCUAGAAGGGAUCGUGGAGCUGCCUUUGACCCCAGGCCGCCCGUCGUCCUACUUCACCUUCCUCACAGCUCCACAACUGCCUCAGGAUGAGGACAGAGCCCUGCCAGCCCCACUACUUUAAGCACAGAUGGAUUUUGGCAGCGUUUCUACCUCAGCGACCAUCACCAGCCAGAGACCAUCGCUCCCUGAGCUUUCCCUGAGCUCAGACUGAACAGAAAUAAUCCUUCACCUUCCUCAAAUCUCCUCUCCCCUCUGGGGAAACCUCACGCAUCAGCAGCCCAGUGCAGGCUCUGAGCUCCCAGGGAUGAAACAGGAGGAACCUCAGCCUGCAAACAUCCCUUGCUGAGACUCCUGGAGACAGCAGGACAAGCCAGGGCUGCUGAUGGAGCGGCUGGUGGCACUCGGGUCACACGGAGGGGACUCUCCUCCCAAGGCAGCUGCCACCUCCUCACUCCUCAAAAAGGAGAGGCCUUUCAGAGAGAGGAAAUGAUCUUUUAAAAACACUUUUGAGAGCUGUGUGUGGCCUGGUGGCUCUGGUGACAUCUCAGAGCCAGCUGAGGAAAGGCAGAGCAGAAUGUUCUCACCACAGCCAGGAGCUCCUCUCCUCUCCAGAUGAUGUGGGAUGGCUCCAGCACCUUCCUAAGAUGGCCCAAAGCAGAUAAACCCCAGGCUCAUCAUGGCAGGCGCCUUGAAAUGGGCAUUGGAAGGAGAUUUUCUCUCUCAGAGCCGCGGUGGGAGGCAGGGGAUGCUCAGCCUGGACGUUUCCCAGCCCCUGGCCCAGCCUGCAGCUCCUCCCGAGGCUCUGAGGGACGAAGAGAAGGAUUCAGUGACAUUUCACCGAGGCUGGCAGAGCUGGGGGGUGACUCCAGCUCUCCUGCCUGCCCCAGGAGCUCUCCCAGCACAUUCCAUGAGCCAGAGCAGCUGGAAACACCAACAGGAGCCCACAGAGCGACCCAGAUUCUCACAGACCUUCCCCAAUUCCAUCCUGAUGUCCACCACCACCGUGUUUAACCAGCAUGAAGAGACAAAGCCUGGCCUCUCACGUCCCCUAAAAGCCAAGCACGGGCUCUUUUCACACACAAACACAUUUUACCCCCCAAACUCUCACAGAUUCUCCAACAUAAAUGUGAAAGGAUCAAACCUGGCCCCGUCCCACAGGCUGCCUCGUUGCCCUGUGCAGACAGAUCCACGUGAAUGGUGCGGGGCAGGACCCGGGAAUGUUCCACAGCAAAAUUCAAAUCAAACUGGCCAGGACAGGCUGCAAACACAGCUCAGUGUCAUCAUUCCACUGACAAUAACACAUGAGCUCGGAGGAAGCCUCUCAGCUGCAGCUUUUUAUAUCCAAACUCUUCCUGGCUGAGCAAUCUCAACCUACUAUUGAUCCAGAUGACGCAUCUGAUUCCUAUAAUUGAGAUUGGAAUUAAAAAAAAGAAAAGGAAAAGAAGCCUUUCUAUUUCUUGCAGCGAGUUUGUUUCUCACGUUUGACAGCUCGGAGCAUGCAGCACUCGGGCUUUUGUCGUGAUUGAAGUGAAGGAAUUUUUUAAAGCUGUUUCAGCCCAAAAGUCGCUGAGGAUGGAAGAAAAAUAUCUGGGUGUUCUCUCAGCCAUGGGCUGUGGAAGGUCAGGCAGCUGCUGAAGUCGUUUUCUGGGGGAUCAUGGAAUGGUUUGGGUGGGAAGGGAAAUAAAAAUCACAUCGUUGCCA